ensembl:lncRNA
UUUCUGCCUCCCUUGGGCACACUCUAAAAGGUGGUGACCUUUCUUUCCUAAAAUGUGACCACUCACUGACGCAAACAGAAAGAAAGAAUUUUACAAAGAAGAACACAUGUUUGCAGCAGUCUUUUGGCUUCAGGAUUUAACUGAAGUUUUUCAACUUGACGCAUGGAAGAAUCAAAACCAGAAGAAUGAAGAAUGUGUAACAAAAGGAGCGCAGUGUUAAUGUUUAUGAAAAAGUUACUGUGGAUACCUUGUUCCACCUUCGGAAAACAUCCGGUGCAGGGGAAGGAGAAUGUUUGUUCUGUUCUUCUGAAGAAGUUUGAAGCAGAGCCCAGGCCGGGCCCCUGAUGAAAGGCUUCGUGAUGCCACACUCCCUUGAGGAGAUUUUGAAGGAAUCCAAUUUGCUGCGAGAUACAAAUGAAACUGUUUACCCGAACAGGUUUUUUCCCCUCCGCGUGUAAUCCAAUCUUCCAAGUCAGUGGAUUCCUGCCGUACCGUUCUGCUAAGGCACACACUGCCUCGUUGUGCACAUCCAGUUAUAACAUUACAAGAAGUAUCAAAGGCUCUGACAGCGUUGCAGGGCUGUUUGCAGUUCUGAAUGGCCAGAAUUGUCCCAUGUGCUGGCCGAAGUUCUGGUCCUGAAGCACGAUGUUUCUCAGCUGGCAAUCUAGGUCACCUGGAUGUUUGUAAGGCUUAUGUCAUUCUUUGCCAUGAACGCAGAAGACAUAAAAAGAUGUUUGUCUCUUUGUCUGUUCUGCAUUUAUCCUGGAAAAGAGAUUGGAGAACUCGCAAAAUUAUUCCUUCCAAUUUCUGACAUGAACUAUGAAGAAAGCUGUAUCUGCUCAAGAUCCCAUGCCGCAGAUUUAUGUAGCUGAAACUGCUGAAAACUCACUGCUAAAACAAAGAGGGGAAAAGGCUGAUUUCCAGAUUUUUAUAAGAUAAACAUCAAACAAAUUCCCAAGCGAAUGGAUUGCAAUGCCUCUAAAAACACGUGGAAACAAGGAUUACUUCUGUUCAGGAACAAGACAAGUGAAGGACAUUUUGCAGGAGCCAAAUUCCAGACAACUGGUUGAGAUACAUUGCGAUUGUAUUCUGCAAUAGAAGAUGGGAUUCCCGCAGCAACAGAGCUAUUCACAGCAGCUGAUGUUACUCUGUGUCAGUAAGAAGGCCAGGAUUUGGCAAAAGUUGCUUACUGAUCUCAAUAUAUAAGUCGUUUUCCCCCACAUUUUUGUAUCACCAAUAACCACUUUCUCUAGAUCUUGUUUCUUUCAGUAGUCCACAGCUUUGAAACUGUGCUCCUUUGUUCUGUUAAAAUAUGUGGGCUAAUCUUCGGUAAACCAACAUAUUUGAUUUAGUCGACUAUGUUCUAAUAACAUUUUGGGUUAGCAUAGUUAGUUCAUCUGCCAAGUAUUACAUUUUUCCUUUCCCCACAAAAUCAGGACAAACUGUACAUCUCCUGCUGCGUCCGAAGCUGAUUUGGCUAACUUUCAGCUAUGCUAAUUAAAGAAUACAGCAGUCCUAUUUUUAACAAAUUUCAAAAUACUACAGAUACACUGCUGGCAACUGUACUUGUUUUGAUGCAAAACUGGUAAAUUGUGCAAAAAGUUUUGUGGUUUGUUUUCUGUCGAUUCACUUUCACAUCGCUACACAAACUCACACCCGGAUACUUACCAUAACGCUAAGAGGUGCCAAACAGUUACAAAGACCUAUCACAUCCAGUUUCAGGAUAAGGCUUAAGAAUAUAGAUUUGCAUAAAUUGCUGUAAACAGAAUGCAACAGAACAGAGCAGAAGGUAAAUGAAUACCAACACCAAGGCUUAAAAACCUUUUCUG